rnacentral:lncRNA from 1 species
AUGCUGCUCCGUGUUUGGGGACGCAUGGACACAGGACGGAGCACACGGGACCUGGUGAUGGAGGCUGCCUCAGUCCUGUUCGCAUUUGAACAUCUUUGGCCAAUCCAAGGUGUGACCAGAGUCCCAAAGCUGACGACCUGUUCUGGAUGCCUGUGGCAAGAGCCCCUCUGUUGGAUUCCCUUCAAGUAGCACUUUGGGCUCUCUGGGUUGUUUAGUGGGAUGACCCAGACCUUCAUCCCCAAGGCGAUGGUCGUGGUGGUUUCCCUUGCUCAUUGAAAGCCAUUGCCGCUAAAUCACUGCUAAGAGAUACCCAGUUCCUUCAUGUAGGUUUUUAGACACACCCUACUGUCCUCGAUCAUCUACUAGCAACCUUCGUCCCUGAUGUUUGUCAGUUACUAUCCCAAUCAUCAGAACCAAUCCUUUCUUUGCCUGUUCGGCCAAGAACAUUAGAGAGUCAGGUGGUAAUCACAGAUUCCUCUUAAAGGUAUUCUUGCUGUGACCCUGAAAGAACUGUCUCCACUCCCGUCUCCCGGAGCUGGGACUUCCUACAAUCCCUGAGAGUGCCAGGUUGCAUGAAUGAGAAACAACAAAAUAUGCAGGGUUGCUGGCUGUCGUAAUUGGGGCCACUCCGACACCUGUUGGUCCUCAGACUCCUAUACCGUAGCAGUAGUGGCACUGUUCAUCACUGGUAAUCAGUUCAGAAUGUGUGCCACAUCCUGGAUUGGAUGAUGGUAUCCAGGCCACAUUAAGUGUUGACCCUCUGGCCAGCACCUUAGUAACCAUUGGUAGGCCAUGUCACCAUCAUUAUCAGGUCAGUUAAUCCUGGAUGGUGGGAUGGGACAAGACCAGUGCAUUCCAUAGUCAUGAGCUUAUGGUCACACCUCCUCUGGUGGAAAAGGAGUCCUUCGUUCAGAGGCAGUGCUGUGGGAUAUCACAGGUAAGGCAUUCUGUGAGUCUUUGGGGAUGGUGCUGGCAGAACCAUAGGCAGGGGCCGUAAGGACAAAAUACUGCCCCAUGAUUAAUGGUGCCGAGUUGAUAGCAUCAGUCUGCUGUCCACUGGACAAGCCUUCAGCUAUGGUGGUAACAUGAGUCUUGGUACAGGAAAUCCUUGCUAUUGAGCCUAUGCUUAGCUGUCAUCCCGGACACUGUUCCCAGGCCUCUGCACAAGGGCCGGAUGUGUGAGAAGAGU